ensembl:lncRNA
CAGAGAUCACAGCAUGCUGGUGCUCAGCUCCUACUUAAAAAAUAAGCAAGCAUGCCAAGGAGGAAGGCUGGCACCCAGGUGGGGCUGCCAGCAGUCAGACACGCCAGCAUCUCAGCGGGAAUUGCCCUUGCAUGUAAUCAGACUGGAGCAUGGACUCUAGCAAAGGCAUGCUCAGAUGAGAAAUACAGUGUAAAUGUUUAAUGGCAAGUGCUGCUGCCAUCAACUCGGGUCCCUGCGGUGACACCAGUGCCAGAAGCCUUUGCCACAGACCUGGGCACCUCCCAGGAGAGGAGCUGCAGAGGGCUAGAUGGCAGGUGCCGAUGGGCAGACAGGCCAGGGCACCACGCACCACAACAGUUCCCUCCUGCAGCUUCCCAGCCAUGAGCCCAAAACCAGUCAACCUUUGCUAACACAUGAUGCUUCAGCAUCGUGGCCAGUGCAUUGGGCAGGUUCAGUGAGGAUGGGGAUGGGCAGCGAUGCCUGUCUGGGUCAGUACAACCAUGAGCAAAACUGUGAGAAUGAGAGCCUUUGCUCGGGAGCUGCUUCCCUAGGGUUGCCAGAGAGGACAGGGUUGGCCCUUGGCAUCAUGUGACUGGGCACCUCAGUGUGCCCUGUGCAGCUCUGGCCCUGUGUCCCUGUGAAGGGCAUCCCAGGGACAGGGCAGAGUUGAGGGAGGUUUUGGGUGGCUGCUGGCUCCACUCCUGCUGAGGCUUUGCUGAAGUCCACCGCUCUCUGCCUCCCCCUGUUGUGCACAGACUAUGAAGAUGAGGAGGAGUGGAGCCCAUGGUCCCCUUGCAGCAUCACCUGUGGCAGUGGCAACCAGAAGAGGACCCGGUCCUGUGGCUACGCCUGCACAGCAACAGAGUCAAGGACCUGUGACCUGCUGCGCUGCCCUGGAGCAGAGGGGGAAGUGGUCUUCCCCACAGAGGAGACACCUUUCAAAAAUGACAACACCACAGAGCUGUUCAACUCAGGUCAGCCUCUGCCUCUGCCUUGCACUGGGGUCUUCAGUGCCAGCCCCCACGGGGGGUGUAGCUGGCUGGUGGGGAGAGCUCUGCCAAGGGCUCCCACAUCUGAUGUCCAGACCUAAGUCGCCCAAGCCACUGCCAUGUGCAGGCUUCAGCACUCAUGCUGGGAAACCCAGUUCCUCCCAGCCCUAGUACAACAUGAUCCUGCUUUACGGUGCAGUGGCUGAGGCCAGCCCGCCACAUGGCCUCUCCCAUGCGGGGAUGCUGCCAUCCCGGCUGAUGUAGCAAUGGGUGCCCCAGGCAGAGCCCCUGCAAGCAGCAGCUCUGCCCCAGCAUGAAACCCCUUCCCUCUGUCACUGCCUCGGGAUAGAGCCUUGGCUCCAGCUCAUCCCAGGAGCCUGGCUGCUCCUGCCUGGCAGUUUUAGGCUCCACUGGUGGUGCUGGCAAGGCCAUGGGCACAUGGCAACUGGGUAAAGUGGGGUCUGGACUGUGCGUGCCCUCACCCUUUCGGUGCCCUCCCCCGCAGAGGUGGACAGCUGUGAGAAGUGGCUGAACUGCAAGAGCGACUUCCUCACCAAGUACCUGAGCAAGGUGCUGACGGACCUGCCCAGCUGUCCCUGCUCCUACCCACUGGAGGCCGUCUA